AUCAGGUCCUCCUAUACUGACCUGUAUAAUGACAGACCUAUCAGGUCCUCCUAUACUGACCUGUAUAAUGACAGACCUAUCAGGUCCUCCUAUACUGCACUGUAUAACGACCUAUCAGGUCCUCUAUACUGCAUGGUAUAAAGGCCUAUCAGGUCCUCUAUACUGAACUGUAUAAUGACCUAUCAGGUCCUCCUAUACUGAACUGUAUAAUGACCUAUCAGGUCCUCCUAUACUGACCUGUAUAAUGACCUAUCAGGUCCUCCUAUACUGACCUGUAUAAUGACAGACCUAUCAGGUCCUCCUAUACUGACCUGUAUAAUGACAGACCUAUCAGGUCCUCCUAUACUGACCUGUAUAAUGACCUUUCAGGUCCUCCUAUACUGACCUGUAUAAUG
rnacentral:lncRNA from 8 species